UCCGGCAAAAAUCCGGCAGUCUCGCGUGACACUUGUAACACGCGACGGGGGUUGCGCUCGUUUCCCCACUGAAGGGAACAUCUCAAGACACGAGCUGACGGCAACCAUGCAGCACCUGUUCAAACGUCCUUGAGAGACAACAAUCCUUUCGGAAAGUCUUCGUUUGAAUUUCAAGCCCUGGUAAGGUUCCUCGCUUACCAUCGAAUUAAACCUCAUGCUCCUCCGCUUGUGCGAGUCCCCGUCUAUUCCUUUGAGUUUUAGCCUUGCGGCCGUACUUCCCAGGCGGUUUGUUUAACGCGUUAACUGCGCCACUCCGAGGGUCGAUACUCGAAACGGCUAACAAACAUCGUUUAGGGCGUGGACUA
rnacentral:misc_RNA from 1 species